rnacentral:rRNA from 1 species
CCUACGGGGGGCUGCAGUGGGGAAUAUUGGACAAUGGGGGCAACCCUGAUCCAGCCAUGCCGCGUGUGUGAAGAAGGCCCUCGGGUUGUAAAGCACUUUCAGUGAGGAAGAACGCCUGGUGGUUAAUACCCAUCAGGAAAGACAUCACUCACAGAAGAAGCACCGGCUAACUCCAUGCCAGCAGCCGCGGUAAUACGGAGGGUGCGAGCGUUAAUCGGAAUUACUGGGCGUAAAGCGCGCGUAGGUGGCUUGAUAAGCCGGUUGUGAAAGCCCCGGGCUCAACCUGGGAACGGCAUCCGGAACUGUCAAGCUAGAGUGCAGGAGAGGAAGGUAGAAUUCCCGGUGUAGCGGUGAAAUGCGUAGAGAUCGGGAGGAAUACCAGUGGCGAAGGCGGCCUUCUGGACUGACACUGACACUGAGGUGCGAAAGCGUGGGUAGCAAACAGGAUUAGAUACCCUUGUAGUC